GACGAACGCUGGCGGCGUGCUUAACACAUACAAGUCGAACGGAAAGGGCCUGCUUUGGCGGGGUGCUCGAGGGGCGAACGUGUGAGUAACACGGGAGUAACCUGCCCGUUACUUUGGGAUAACUUCAGGAAACUGGGGCUAAUACCGGAUAGGAGCACCUGCUGCAUGGAGGGGGUCGGAAAGUUUCGGCGGCUGGGGAUGGACUCGCGGCUUAUGAGCUUGUUGGUGGGGUAGGGGCUUACCAAGGCUUUGACGGGUAGCCGGCCUGAGAGGGGGGCCGGCCCCAUGGCGACUGCGGGAGGGCCCAGUGGCCUAUGGGAGGCAGCAGUGGGAAGUCUUGCACAGCGGGGGCGCGCGUGAUAAAGCGACGCUGCGUGUGGGAUCACGUCUUUUGAGUUGUGAAAAGCUUCUGCCUGAGACGAAGCGUGCGUGACGGUACCGGAAAAAGAAGCACCGGCUAACUACGUG
rnacentral:rRNA from 1 species